CCCAGAGAAAAAGAAGUUAUUAUACGAAAAAGAUGCUUGCACGCGCAUAUUUAUAGCAGCACAAUUUGCAAUUGCAAAAAUGUGGAACCACCCAAAUGCCCAUCAAUCAAC